GUUAUAAGUUUGCGACCACCCAGUGACGAAGGUUGUUGUGUGAUCAAGUAAACUCGAAAAAUAAAAAAAAAUCUUGAAUUAUUCCAAUUUUAACUUUAAGCGAACUUUUAAACUCAAGUAAGCGAAUACAGAACAUUCAAUUUAAGAUGUCUUCAAAAAAUUAGAGCAAAAAUUAACACUUUUCGGCAAAGUGAAAUUUUUCGUCAAAAUUUAAUUUUAAACGCCAAUUAAAAUCUAAAUAUAUCAAGUUUAUUGUUAAAUAAAGAAUUUAUUCUAAUUAGUAUACUACAAAUUAAUGUUUCUAUGCCACCUGCAUGAUAUAGUCGUCCAUUUUGAAUUAUAUUAAAACAUUUUGGUUCUUCAUAAAUUUUGGGCAAAAUCAAUAAUGAUCAAAAGCAAAGAUACAUUUCUUUUUACCAAAGGCAAUAGAAUCAUUCGAAUGUCUUUGAUUUUACAGUCGGACCGUUUCGAUUGAGAUUUAACACCACAUGGCUGACAAACAUCUGGACCAGAAUCUUCUGACACAAGGCAGCCCCACCAAGACGCCUUAAAGCGAGUUCAGCUUUACUGUUCUAGAAUGCAGUUUAUAUACCCAAACUCGAAGGAGUUCCACAUUAAGAAGAGCAGCAGAAGCAGAAAAAAAUGUCUGGACCCUUGAAAUUCAUUUUGCAAAUGCAUUUCCAUUGGCUCGGAAA